AGUGAACGCUGGCGGUAGGCCUAACACAUGCAAGUCGAACGGCAGCACAGUAAGAGCUUGCUCUUACGGGUGGCGAGUGGCGGACGGGUGAGGAAUACAUCGGAAUCUACUUUUUCGUGGGGGACAACGUAGGGAAACUUACGCUAAUACCGCAUACGACCUACGGGUGAAAGCAGGGGAUCUUCGGACCUUGCGCGAUUGAAUGAGCCGAUGUCGGAUUAGCUAGUUGGCGGGGUAAAGGCCCACCAAGGCGACGAUCCGUAGCUGGUCUGAGAGGAUGAUCAGCCACACUGGAACUGAGACACGGUCCAGACUCCUACGGGAGGCAGCAGUGGGGAAUAUUGGAUAAUGGGCGCAAGCCUGAUCCAGCCAUACCGCGUGGGUGAAGAAGGCCUUCGGGUUGUAAAGCCCUUUUGUUGGGAAAGAAAAGCAGCAGGUUAAUACCCCGCUGUUCUGACGGUACCCAAAGAAUAAGCACCGGCUAACUUCGUG
rnacentral:rRNA from 1 species